AUGCAUCGUCGAGAGUCGAUUACCGUCGAGAGAGAACCGGGGACGGACUCUUCCACUCUCUCGAUACAAUCGCGCAGAGACACCAAUAUGGCCGCCACAGCCGACUAAAUUCAACGCGACGUGUGCGCUUGUUGGGAGAUUAUAUAAGUCGCGGAUGAUUAGGUGUUUUCAUCUAUGCCGUCUACGGCAUAGCGAAUGACUCAAUUCGCCUACGUAAAUCUUUCCGGAACAAAGAUUCAAGUGAGCUUGUAUGCUGCAAAUCCAAAAUUAGACACUGCCAAUCACCGAACACAAUCUAUAUUAUCGAGGCAAUCGAUUACCUUCGACGCGUGUUGUUGAAGCCAGCCAUACAGCGAUAUUAAUAGCUAGAUUAGGAAGGACCAACGCAAAGUGAUUGUCCACGAGAGAGGUCGGAUGCCAGAGAGGUUAAUACGAUUCAAUGAUGUUCGAGAAGUCUCGUAUUGUUACUGAUUACAUAAAACAAUUGACUAUAUGAAGAAACAUGAAAAUUUGUGAUUAUUCCAUUUCUCGUGCUAUCAAAAUUUCAAAUCUGUCGUGAAAGCAGGCAUUGUUUUACAAGUAAUAAAGUUGAUUUAAAUGUUGGCACACUGACAAAUUUGAUGUACGCAGUUGGCUUUCGUUAACAAGAAUUGCUCGGGUUCAAAAUUAACGACGUUAAACGGAAGAAAUAAGUUGUAUUGAAUCAUUUCAUAUAUUAUAUCUAAUAAUUUAUAAUAAAAGAUUUGAAACAAUUUAUAAUAAAUUAAUAAUUUAAAAAUAUUAAUAAAAUUACGAAACAAAAAAAAAAUAUCUUCAAAACAGCUAUCUACUUGUCAUAGCACUUGUAGGCAUUAGUUCACGCAUGCGCAGUUAAUAAUCUGAAUUAGUCGAAUUCCAAUUGAAUUAUAAUUCGAGAUCCGAUUAUGAUCGACUAUGCAAUGAUUUAAUUGUCAAUUAACAAGAAUAUAUUAUACAAUGGUAGGAAUGUCGAGUAGACAAGCUCGUAAACAAUAAUAAAAUUAUCCCCAGGGCCUCGGGGAGCAGGUAGGAAAUCAGAGAGGGAGAGGAAAAGAAGGAAUCUAAAAAAACUACAGAGCUCUAGGAGACCGCAGUGCGUUUCGAAGGCCGCGUCGCCCUGUCUGACCACGAAUCGAACUUUUCUACUUAGAAACCGAGCAAGCCGGAGAUGCACGAAGGGGUACGAGGCAAGUCGAUGCAACACGUGGCCCCGGGAAUACGGGAGCGAACACCGUCGUACAGCACAGACUCGAUUAUUCUAGCUGCGAAAGUCCGGAACUGUUACAUGCUCCACGUCUCAAUGUCAUGGUUUCAGUACGCGCCAUAAACGCAUCCAAGCAUCGAGAGCAAAAACAAGAUACGAAAGGGAAGAAGAAUGUACAUAAGAGAAUAAAACAUGAAAAAAUAAACGAAACAAGGGGAAAACAAGAAAACGAAAUAUACAUUGAUUAUUCGUUUACACAGAUAAAAUUUGUUAGUGGUAAAAAAAAGCAAACCAAUUAAACCAAUCAGAUUAUAUAGUCGAGUGAUAUCCAAUAGACAGAAGCAAUUUUAUAAGACUUGAAAUUUUGCGAUUAAUUUAAAUGAUCCAUAUUCUGCAUAUGCACGAAUACGUUACAUAAUGAGUGACGAAAUAAUUUAAUAAAUCACUUUCUUCUUGUAUAUUUUAAUUUGUUUGAAUAAUAAAUUUAUUUCGAAGUAUCGCAAUUA